rnacentral:misc_RNA from 1 species
GCAAACUUGGUCAUUUAGAGGAAGUAAAAGUCGUAACAAGGUUUCCGUAGGUGAACCUGCGGAAGGAUCAUUAUUGAAUUAAUCUAGAGUUGGUUGUAGCUGGCCUUGUUAAUUUGGGGCAUGUGCACACCUUCUCUUUCAUCCAUAUACACCUGUGCACCUGUGAGGCAGAUUUUAUUGGGAGGACUUUAUUGAACUCCCUCUGCCUACUUAAUACACAUAAACUCAAUUUAUUUUAAAAUGAAUGUAAUAGAUGUAACACAUCUAAUACUAAGUUUCAACAACGGAUCUCUUGGCUCUCGCAUCGAUGAAGAACGCAGC